AUGCCGCCCCCUCCCUCCCCCGCCUGCCGCUUCGCCGCCCAGUGGGUGGCGGAUGCCCUCGCCGGCGACGAGGCCCUCGACUUCUUCCUCAUCAAAGCGCUGGUGGGCGUCUUGCCGGAGUCCCUCGCGGGCGCACCGGAGGAGACGCGGGAGCGGGUUGCGCUCCGAUGCCUGCAGGAGGUCGUCUCCCUCGCCGCCCCGGGCGAGGGCGAGGGCGAGGGCGAGGCCGCGGCGGCGGCGGUGGCGGGGGGCGGCGGGACGCUUAGGGUUGAUGCCACACGCUCUUGCGAGGAAUUGCUGACUGAGUUGCUCGGACAGGUUGCUUGUUCAGGAAGCUUGGAGAAAGAUAUGCUUCCGCCUUUUAGCAAGGAUAUCCAAAAGUUUAUAUGCAUCAAGACACCGGCUUUACCAGAAACUUCUUUUGAGCUGCUUAGAGAAGUGAACACAGACAUCGCGUGUAUGGUCCCACCGCCCCCAGUGGAGAAGGGUGGCAAGAACAAUGGCAAUGACCAGUCGUUGCCCAGUAUCAACCCUGAUCAUCAUGUAAAUGCAGAGAGGCAUGGGGGCCCUAGAGAUAGUUCUGAUUUUCAGCGAGAGAGUGUAACCGAUUUUGUCAACGGAACUUUCACAAGAAAUGUGCAGAAGGAUCCUAUGGUGCCAACUCCCGAUUACCGUGAACCAUCUACGCUGUACAGUAGGUGUUACGACCGCCCUCAAGAAGAUACCAUUGGUGUUGGUGUCAGUGUCAGAUCCGCACAAACGAGUCCAAGUAGUGAUAAUAGAAACAGGUCCAUUACAACUGAGCCUGCUUCAGCUAUCUGCAGUGCUGCUUUGCUUCGAGGUAAUACUGAACUUAUGUCAAAGCAGGUUGCGGCGGAGACUACCAUGUCCCAAGAAAAGAGUCCAACUACCAUUCUUCAACGAGAAUCCUGUGGAGACAAGAACAAAAACUCAUUCCACGAUAAUGAUGGAGAGAGAUCACAUGGUAAUGGCACCAACAUUCAUUUAUCAAAGAAUCUCAGCCAUGAAGGAUUGACCAUGCAGGCUACGGUGGCUCCAGAUUCUGAUAGAAACACUGACGCUUUACUGGCAAAUACAUCUGAAACAAGAUCCUUGCCUGAGUUUGUUGCUGCAGAUGGUACAGGCGUAAUUGCAGAACUACAUGGCAGAAAAACUCGAAGGAGUUCACCGCAACAUGAGAGCAGUGAGAAAGCAAGUCAUGUUUUGGAUGAGGGUAGUGCUAGGAUUGAGCCAGUGGAAAAGGAUUCUGGUCAUAAUGAACGGAAUCUACGAACUGCUGGUGUUGUACCUUCUGUUAGCUGCAACGGGGCUGUUCAAGGAGAUAAAUCUGAAACCAACAUUCUACAAGAGAAUGCUACAGGGCCUUCUAAAUUGUUUAAGGAGAAAAAUGAUAAGGUUCUUCUGGAAGUCAGUUGUGCUGACAAAGCCAAUCCAGCACUACAUGAUGAUGGCACCAUCUUGGAAAAUAAUACAUCCGAUGGUAGGAAGACUGCUCUAGAUUCUCGCUGCAAUGCGAUGGAAACAUCAAAUGUGCACCGCUCCAAUGACAGUCCCAGUGGGUUUGCAGCCGCUUGUCUUCUAUCAUUGAUGGGCAAUAUGCUGCCCUGUAGUCAGGAUAAAGAUGCCAAUGGUUCCACUCAGGACUUUACGGAACAAGAUUUGUGCAUAAAAUGUGGUAAAGAUGGACAGUUGCUGAAAUGUAGCAGCUGCUCAUUAGUUUCUCAUGAAAGCUGUUUUGGGUCAUCAGUGACAUUUGAUGUUUCUGGCCAGUUUUAUUGCCCUGUAUGUUUCUAUACUAAAGCUAGUGAAGCAUAUCAAAAGGCUAAAAAAACAUAUUUGGAAGCUAGGAAGAACCUAUCUGCUUUCCUUGGCACAAACCAAUUCCCAAAGGAACACCAUGAACAAUCUACUGGAAAACAGCAAACAGCUACCAAUAGCAAGGAUCACUCGAAUGAGCAUAAUACAUCCAAAAGGCAAGGUCAGUCUGAAGCAGAUGACCUUUCUCAUAAGGGUGAAGAACCUGGUGAGCAGAGGAAAAAGCAGAGAACAAAUGAUACAAGUGAUGUACAUCCUGAAGAGGGUCAGCUGAAUGGGUGUGAUGCUUCCAAAAGGCAAGGUAACCAUCAGUCCGAUACAUAUAAUCUUUCUCAUAAGGAACCUGGUCAGCAGAGGAAGCAGAAAACAAAUGCUACAAGUGACGCUUGUCCUGAGGGCGUAAUCGCUGAAAAGGCAUCUUUUGGUCUGAAUUGUGAUAUUGCACCCAAUAAAGAUUGUGUACUCCAAAAUAAAAGAAAACAAGUUGAGCAGUCUGUGGAAGGUGCAGAAGCCCAUGAAGAUGGUAAUGGCAAUUCAUUCUAUGAUGCGCAACAUUCAUCUCAGAAUAGAUGCAGUCCUGUUGCCAACCAGAGUGUUGAGGCUGAAAAACAUGACAGUCUUACAAAUUCUCACGACCCCAAAAGUUCUGAUGAAAUAGAAGCCACGUCUUCAAAUAAUUCUGGCCAUCGGUCGUCGCCUCCUUGGCGAAACAUGAGACACCACAAAGCAAGAUCCCAAGAAAAGGAGACAGUGGUAUCUUAUAAUUCUAAAAAAGCAUUGCGAUGCCAGGAUCAGCAGAUGCCUUCACCAUCAAGCAAACGAUAUCAACCCAAGCGUUACUGUAAUUCUCUUGCACCACCUGGAAGGCGCCCAAAGCUCUGUUGGACAGAAGAAGAAGAGCAAGCUUUGAGGGAUGCAAUGUUAAAUUUCACCCCAAAGGAUGAUGCACCAAUUCCGUGGACUCAGAUAUUAGAAUAUGGCAAGGAUACAUUUCACAGGUCACGCCUUGCGAGUGAUCUGAGAGUCAAAUGGAGGAAUAUGAAGAAAAAAUCAGGAUCCUAG
rnacentral:rRNA from 1 species